GUUUUGGUCCUAAACUUGCCAUUGUUUUUUACCAAAAUUAUACAUGCAAGCCUCCUCGCACCAGUGAGAAUGCCCAAACACCCCCAAACAGAAAACCGGAGCGGGCAUCAGGAUACAACAAUUUUAGCCAACGACGCCUUGCACAUGCCACACCCACACGGGCUUUCAGCAGUAAUUAACAUUAAGAUAUGAGCGAAAGCUCGACUUAGUUAUGGUAAUCAUGGUCGGUAAAUUUCGUGCCAGCCACCGCGGUUAUACGAAAGACCAAAAACAAUGACCCGCGGCGUAAAGCGUGACUAAAGACAACCUAGCUAAACUUAGAGGAAAACAGAUGCCAAGUAGUAAAAUACUAAUGCACACUAGAAUAACAACACACGCCUCUAACACCACUUUACCUCACGAAAGCUAAGAAACAAACUGGGAUUAGAUACCCCACUAUGCUUAGCCGUAAACAUAGACAGUAAACACACAGCACUGUUCGCCAGAGAACUACAAGCGAAAAGCUUAAAACUCCAAGGACUUGGCGGUGCUUCAAACCAACCUAGAGGAGCCUGUCCUAUAAUCGAUACCCCACGUUUAACCUUACCCCUCCUAGCCAAACAGCCUAUAUACCGCCGUCGUCAGCCUACCUUAUGAAAGCAAUAAAGUAAGCAAAAAAGUUAAUAACUAACACGUCAGGUCAAGGUGUAGCACACGGGGGGGCAGAGAUGGGCUACAUUUUCUCAACGAGAAAACACAGAUGAUGAACUGAAACACACACCUGAAGGCGGAUUUAGUAGUAAAAUAGCUAAGAGUGGCUAUUUUAAACCUGCUCUGAAGCGCGCACACACCGCCCGUCACCCUCAUCUCAUGUACAACAAC
rnacentral:ncRNA from 1 species